rnacentral:siRNA from 1 species
CCACUAUAAUAACGGUCUUGCCU